GAUGAACGCUGGCGGCGUGCCUAAUACAUGCAAGUCGAGCGAAGCGGGGACGGGCGAGUAACACGUGGAUAAACUUCUAUAAGACUGGGAUAAUAUCGGGAAACAGUAGCUAAAACGGAUACGUAUAGAUCGAUCCGCGGUGCAUUAGCUAGUUGGUAAGGUAACGGCUUACCAAGGCAACGAUGCAUAGCCGACCUGAGAGGGUGAUCGGCCACACUGGAACGGAGACACGGUCCAGACUCCUACGUGAGGCAGCAGUAGGGAAUCUUCCGCAAUGGGCGAAAGCCUGACGGAGCAACGCCGCGUGAGUGAUGAAGGUCUUCGGAUCGUAAAUCUCUGUUAUUAGGGAAGCGGUACCUAAUCAGAAAGCACCGGCUAACUACGUGCCAGCAGCCGCGGUAAUAC
rnacentral:rRNA from 1 species